GUGGAUGGUGAGUGGAUACAGAACCUGAGACCCUUCUAAGCACCAGGAUGAAGCCUCUCUGCAUGCUCCUCCUCAUCGCCGCAGCUAUGCUGAUUGCCUCAGAAGCGAGAAGCAGCAUGGAUGAAACUCUAUCCAAAAGGGAGGCUGUGAAGAUGCUGUCAGAGUUCAAGAGAGAACUGGAUGACCAGGCUGAGAUGGACUCUGCUCAGAAGGAAUAGCUCGUCAGGGAGCUUGGGCAGUUUAUUGAAGAUAUCGGGAAUCAAGAACCUCUUUCCAAAAGAUUUUUUGGAGAUUUUUGGCAAAAAUUAGCAACAGUCGUUGGCCACGGUGCAAAACAUGUCAUUAACGCAGUUGUGCCUGAUAAAUAGAAAGCCAGUCAGUACUGGGGGUCGGGAAAGCAGUGAAGAAUAAUGACUGCGGCACUUCUACAAAAAAAAGUCCAGCUUCAGCUUUCAGCAGCAAACCUGCCUUCUCUCUUCUGAACCACACUUUAGCUUCCAAAUCGAAAGCACUACACUGUUGUACUUACUGUAGUAUGAUUUCAUUUGCUUAAUAAAUGCUUAUAUUCAAUCAA